rnacentral:rRNA from 1 species
AGUGAACGCUGGCGGUAGGCCUAACACAUGCAAGUCGAACGGCAGCACAGUAAGAGCUUGCUCUUAUGGGUGGCGAGUGGCGGACGGGUGAAGAAUACAUCGGACUCUACUUUUUCGUGGGGGAUAACGUAGGGAAACUUACGCUAAUACCGCAUACGACCUACGGGUGAAAGCAGGGGAUCUUCGGACCUUGCGCGAUUGAAUGAGCCGAUGUCGGAUUAGCUAGUUGGCGGGGUAAAGGCCCACCAAGGCGACGAUCCGUAGCUGGUCUGAGAGGAUGAUCAGCCACACUGGAACUGAGACACGGUCCAGACUCCUACGGGAGGCAGCAGUGGGGAAUAUUGGACAAUGGGCGCAAGCCUGAUCCAGCCAUACCGCGUGGGUGAAGAAGGCCUUCGGGUUGUAAAGCCCUUUUGUUGGGAAAGAAAAGCAGCAGGUUAAUACCCCGCUGUUCUGACGGUACCCAAAGAAUAAGCACCGGCUAACUUCGUG